UUUAACGAUCAUUGGAGAUCAAUACGCUUACAUUUAUUGCAUCAGCUUUAUUUUUGGCUAUCUCGACUAACGUCAGUGCACACGUUUUGUGUGUCAUUAGCGGGUAUUUAAGGAGACACACAAAACCGAUGUUAUCAUAAAAAGAGAUUGUUUUCUUAAAGAAGAAAGAUGUCUUAUAUUGUGAUUUUAGUGGUGGGAAUGACUUUGGUGUUGGACAAUGUAUGGGGUGCAAGACCUGGCUUUUCGACAACCACAUUUAAACCUGAUUUAGCAGUGGACCUUUUUGGAAUAGGUACUGAUGUAUAUAACAGCUGGAGAGAAAGCAGAGAUGUCAACACAGUGUCUACCAAAAUAGACGCCGUUUUAGACAGCAUAACAAACCUUAAACAGACAGUUUCUGAUCUGUUUGCACAACAAGCAUUUCAGGUAAGACUGGCAGGUGUUGAGAGAUUUCAUCGACAAACAUUAAACCGCAUUCGCGAACUCAGUGACAUCGUGAAUGCUAAGAAUACAGAAAAGGACAAAUAUAUGCAGCUUUUCAUUGUUGGAACAAAAUCAUCAUAUUUGGACGCACUGUACAAUUUCAUUCCAAACUUGAUCGAAAAAACUAUAAGUUCUGACGAAACAUUACUAGAACUCAUACGUGACCAUUAAAGUUGCGAUAACACUGGAAUGGGUCAGUUUGCGGAUUUCUGCCGAUGGAUUAUUUACAGUGGCAUCAUAGUCGAAGUAACCUUCAAAAUGCACGAGUUUCAUCUCACACUCGAAAAGGAAAAAAAAGAAUGGGGCAAUAAACUGCAAAUUUUUGAAAGUAAUGUUGAGAUAAUGGACCAAUACUGUGAAUGGCAUUUUACGAUGUACUACGACAAAGACAUCCAUCAGGAAAAAAGUCUGUCUCAGCUGCAUGCGGAGCUGGAAAGGAGAUAUGCUAAUACAUCAUUCUUUGAGGUUGAUCUAUCAGACGAUGACGUAUUCUUAUUUGACACAGGCACUGCGCGACAACAGCUUAAAUGCUUAAAACAAUGUAAAGGCGGACGACGCUGCUUUACUUACACUAAAGCUGGAACUCCGUGCGCGAAAAUUCCGUCACUUCAGAUUGUUUCAACUGACAGAAAUCUUCAAUACAGAAAAAGUUCAGACUGGCCGGGGCAAUUUUUCUUCACUGACAAAGAUGGUAAACGAACGUACAAUCUGCUGAAUUGUUAACUGCAAUGUAUCGCCAUCAUUUGGUCCAUACGACGAUGUUGAAAUGUUCGAGAGAGGGGAGACCUGCGCCGCAUGUGUCCAACGUCUCUCUACCUCCGCUGCUCUCCUCGUCUUUUCCUUCACUGUGCUUCAACGCAAAGGAAUCGCUUUGAAUGAGUUCGACUAAAUAACAAAUGAGGGCGCUCUUGUCUGUGUCUUCCUUGACAGAUAAAGCGGAAUUUAGCAGAAACAUAAUGCUGAUUUUCUGUUUAAAUGCUGACCAGAGCCCGUGAUUUCGCCUUAAACAUUUGCUCAUAAUUGCUAAAGUAACAAACUGAUAAUUGAACUUAAUGUAAGGAGUUAAGUGUUUGUUAUGACCAAGUUUAUAUGCUGAUUGUAUAUUUUUAAAGUUUGAUUUCGUUUAUGAUUAACUAUUGUAAAUUUGAAUAGUUAUAUCAGAAUUUGUUGUGGUAUCUGUAGAGAUUAUUUGUUAAGCCAAUAAAACGCUUUGUUUAACUAAAACGGUUUUAAUUAGGUUUAGCCAUGCCUUAUGCUUACUGAACAUGGGAAUAGAUCCAGAGAAAUCAAAGUGAGAUAUUGUAUAAAUAGAGAAUAGAAGAAAAAAAAUUAAUUAUUAAAUCAUCAAUACACGAUGAUAUUUUUUACAAACUAUUUUAAAGAAUUAAAAACAUUAUUUUCAAA